rnacentral:tRNA from 1 species
GUCCCCAUCGUCUAGCGGUUAGGACACCACCCUUUCAAGGUGGAGACACGGGUUCGAUUCCCGUUGGGGAUACCA